rnacentral:rRNA from 1 species
ACAUAGGGUGCAAGCGUUGUCCGGAAUUAUUGGGCGUAAAGAGCUCGUAGGUCGUUUGUCGCGUCGAUUGUGAAAAUCUGAGGCUCAACCUCAGACCUGCAGUCGAUACGGGCAAACUAGAGUGUGGUAGGGGAGACUGGAAUUCCUGGUGUAGCGGUGGAAUGCGCAGAUAUCAGGAGGAACACCAAUGGCGAAGGCAGGUCUCUGGGCCAUAACUGACACUGAGGAGCGAAAGUGCGGGGAGCGAACAGGAUUAGAUACCCUGGUAGUCCGCACCGUAAACGGUGGGCACUAGUUGUGGGAACCUUCCACGGUUUCCGCGACGCAGCAAACGCAUUAAGUGCCCCGCCUGGGGAGUACGAUCGCAAGAUUA